CCUACGGGAGGCAGCAGUGAGGAAUAUUGGUCAAUGGACGAGAGUCUGAACCAGCCAAGUAGCGUGAAGGAUGACUGCCCUAUGGGUUGUAAACUUCUUUUAUAUGGGAAUAAAAUGUUCCACGUGUGGGAUUUUGUAUGUACCAUAUGAAUAAGGAUCGGCUAACUCCGUGCCAGCAGCCGCGGUAAUACGGAGGAUCCGAGCGUUAUCCGGAUUUAUUGGGUUUAAAGGGAGCGUAGGUGGAUUGUUAAGUCAGUUGUGAAAGUUUGCGGCUCAACCGGAAAAUUGCAGUUGAAACUGGCAGUCUUGAGUACAGGAGAGGUGGGCGGAAUUCGUGGUGUAGCGGUGAAAUGCUUAGAUAUCACGAAGAACUCCGAUUGCGAAGGCAGUUCACUGGACUGCAACUGACACUGAGGCUCGAAAGUGUGGGUAUCAAACAGGAUUAGAUACCCGGGUAGUC
rnacentral:rRNA from 1 species